rnacentral:rRNA from 1 species
UACAGAGGGUGCGAGCGUUAAUCGGAAUUACUGGGCGUAAAGCGUGCGUAGGUGGUUAUGUAAGUCGGAUGUGAAAGCCCCGGGCUCAACCUGGGAAUUGCAUUCGAGACUGCAUAGCUAGGAUGCGGAAGAGGGAAGCGGAAUUUCCGGUGUAGCGGUGAAAUGCGUAGAUAUCGGAAGGAACACCAGUGGCGAAAGCGGCUUCCUGGUCCAGCAUCGACGUUCAGGCACGAAAGCGUGGGGAGCAAACAGG